rnacentral:lncRNA from 1 species
GUGCAUCAGGAAGGAUUUAUCGAAUUAGGAUAAUUCUAAUUUUUCCAGAUUAAAAUAAAUUAAUAUCAGAAUUUUUAUCUAUAUUUUUUUGCAUAUGGGAGAAAAAUUCCGCGCUUUCAGUAAAUUGAUGUCCAUGCGUUCUGGGCCGCACAUAAACGCUUGCCGGGCCGCAUGCGGCCUGGGGGGCCACAGGUUGAGAAUGGCAGCUUUAAAGCCAUAUUUCUCAAAGUUUUUGGCACUACGGAACCCUAUCAACUUAUUUUCAUUUUCAUGGAACCCUUUUGAAAAUAUAAGUUAUAUAGGUAUAAUUGUAUUAUUA